AGUGAACGCUGGCGGUAGGCCUAACACAUGCAAGUCGAACGGCAGCACAGUAAGAGCUUGCUCUUACGGGUGGCGAGUGGCGGACGGGUGAGGAAUACAUCGGAAUCUACUUUUUCGUGGGGGAUAACGUAGGGAAACUUACGCUAAUACCGCAUACGACCUACGGGUGAAAGCAGGGGAUCUUCGGACCUUGCGCGAUUGAAUGAGCCGAUGUCGGAUUGGCUAGUUGGCGGGGAAAAGGCCCACCAAGGCGACGAUCCGUAGCUGGUCUGAGAGGAUGAUCAGCCACACUGGAACUGGAACACGGUCCAGACUCCUACGGGAGGCAGCAGUGGGGAAUAUUGGACAAAGGGCGCAAGCCUGAUCCAGCCAUACCGCGUGGGUGAAGAAGGCCUUCGGGUUGUAAAGCCCUUUUGUUGGGAAAGAAAAGCAGCAGGUUAAUACCCCGCUGUUCUGACGGUACCCAAAGAAUAAGCACCGGCUAACUUCGUG
rnacentral:rRNA from 1 species